ACUAAUUGAGAUAGCAAAGUAUGAUCAUUAUUCCUUCAAGCCUUUUUAAAUCCCAUUCUUCCCUCUUCCCUCCUGCCUGUCAUCCUGGGCAGCUCGUGCGUCAUAAAGCUACAUGGCAACAUCCCAUUUACUGCAAACCAAAGGAGACAGCCUGUGUAAACAGCAACCCAGGCAGGGCAGUGUUUUUCUCCAACUUGUGCAUUUCACCACAUAUGGACCUUUGCAGAACUAGGACACAGUCACCCUUUUUGCCUCAAAGAGCUUAAAAUUCGGAGGCUUCAUCUGGUUUAUUCUUCCAGACAAGUAAUGCCUAUAAGUAAACAACAGGAAAACAGUCAAGUACACUCCUGAAUAGCAAAGAGCAGCUUUACCAGUUCUAAUUACACUUUGUCUUUAAAUUUGCUUUCCUGUAUUACUGGAUUGUCCUAUUCUUUGUUAAGAACUGCACUAAUUUGAGAGUUAGUGAACCACUAGUGCAUUGUAAAGAGGAAGAUUUUUUAUUUCCCAGGACUUUGCAAACAGGUAAGCAGAGAUAGCAAUAGAUCUUUGCCUAAGGAGCAGGAUGAGAGCUGUGGUUACAAAGAGAUGUCAGCAGAUUGUAGACUCAUAGAAUCAUAGUCAUAGAAUGGUUUGGGUUGGAACAGCCCUCAAAGCCCAUCCAGUCCCAGCACCCUGCUAUGGACUGAGUGCCCCCUGCAGCUCAGGCUGCCCAGGACC